UUGGCCCAACUGAUUGAACGUGCUUGCACGGACUUGACGUUGGUUUACCAGCGAGUGGCGGACGGGUGAGUAACACGUAGGUAACCUGCCCCAAAGCGGGGGAUAACAUUUGGAAACAGAUGCUAAUACCGCAUAAUAAUUUGAAUCGCAUGAUUCAAAUUUAAAAGAUGGCUUCGGCUAUCACUUUGGGAUGGACCUGCGGCGCAUUAGCUUGUUGGUAGGGUAACGGCCUACCAAGGCUGUGAUGCGUAGCCGAGUUGAGAGACUGAUCGGCCACAAUGGAACUGAGACACGGUCCAUACUCCUACGGGAGGCAGCAGUAGGGAAUCUUCCACAAUGGGCGCAAGCCUGAUGGAGCAACACCGCGUGAGUGAAGAAGGGUUUCGGCUCGUAAAGCUCUGUUGUUAGAGAAGAACGUGCGUGAGAGCAACUGUUCACGCAGUGACGGUAUCUAACCAGAAAGUCACGGCUAACUACGUGCCAGCAGCCGCGGUAAUACGUAGGUGGCAAGCGUUAUCCGGAUUUAUUGGGCGUAAAGCGAGCGCAGGCGGUUUGAUAAGUCUGAUGUGAAAGCCUUUGGCUUAACCAAAGAAGUGCAUCGGAAACUGUCAGACUUGAGUGCAGAAGAGGACAGUGGAACUCCAUGUGUAGCGGUGGAAUGCGUAGAUAUAUGGAAGAACACCAGUGG
rnacentral:rRNA from 1 species